UUAAAACACAAUUCACCCAGCGUCAUUUCACUGUGCUUACCGAUCAGUGCUGUGGCCACUCACCGUGCCGCCUCUGCGUUGCCCACGGCGCCGUUUCCGUACUUAAGUCGCUGGCGCUCUGCCUACUAUCACCGCUGUUGUGCUCAGUGGCACAUUGCAUCUUUUCAAGUUCCAGGAUGUGGCAAAUGCUGUGAAAUCCAAAGCGAAAGAACCCCCAAAACCCAAACGACGACGAUGACGAAGAAGAUGGUGAAGUGAAAGUUAUCGUUCAUCGUGCUGUCAUUGGUUGAGCUUAAAGAACUCUCUAAUAUCUGUUAUGCACAUUGCAUCUUUUCAAGUUCCAGGAUGUGGCAAAUGCUGUGAAAUCCAAAGCGAAAGAACCCCCAAAACCCAAACGACGACGAUGACGAAGAAGAUGGUGAAGUGAAAGUUGUCGUUCAUCGUGCUGUCAUUGGUUGAGCUUAAAGAACUCUCUAAUAUCUGUUAUUUGGGUAGCUUCGUGGAUUUGUUCGUGAAAAGAAUUCAGACUGGAUGGUGCUUUCAGAGCUAUCGAGGGAUUGGAAUUUCGUGUUGUAGUUUUUCUUUUUGACUGGACUCUCUUCCUUUUCUUCUACUUAAAAACCUCUCAUCACAUACGACCCUCUUUUUCCUCUUCUUGUAUUCCUUAUUCUUAACCAUGUUCAAAAGAUAAUAGUGAUUAUUAUUUGUGGUUGCUGGCUGGAGAAGAUUUCUAUUUAUAUACUCUUUCACAAUAGCGGCAAUGUCGAACUGAGAGAUGGGUUGGCUGGUGUCUCUACCGAUGGACUCCAAGAACUGAAUUAGGGGUAGCUGGGGGACUCAUUUUCUAUGUUGUUGUUGUGCUGCUUUUGCCUCUGUUUUUGCAUCUAGUUUUUGUGAUUUGGAAGGUGUUGUUAAUUGAUGCCAUUGGGUAGCUGCGUGGAUUUGUCCGUGAAAAGAAUUCAGAUUGUAUGGUGCUUUCAGAGCUAUCGAGGGAUUGCAAUUUCGUGUUGUAGUUUUUGUUUUUCGACUGGACUCUCCCUUCCUUUUCUUCUACUUAAAAAAGUUUGUUUCAUUAAAAAAAAAAAGGAUGGAAGUGAGAAAACGUUGGAGCCUUUCAUGUGGG